UGCUAUAUUUAGAUUUUGGGGGAUAAGAAAAACACUUAGUGAGGUCCAAUAAAAUUAUGGUCACUUUGUUGUAGACUGUAGAGAAUCAUGGCGUUGAUCAGAUGAUUUCUUUAAGAAUCAAGUUUGAUUGUGAAGUAAUAAAUGUUCAUGUCGUGUCCUAUAGCUUUGUUCUUAAUUUUUUUUCCUUUUUCAUGUUGCAUCAAGCACAUGGUAAGUAAGAGGUAUCACUAUCAAUGUGCAAUUUUAAUUUCUAUGUGGAUUCUAGAAUGCUAAAUGAGUUGUCGACUUGUCGUUGCUUCAAUAUUACUCCAGCAGAAUAUGUGUUCUUUAAUAGGAACCUGUAGCUUUGUUGUGUAUUUAGUUCGACUUGUUUCUUUUUCUAAAGCCUUUGCCCAGAUGAUAGUUAACACCUAGAUUGUGGUAGUCUAGCUAGGGACUGUAUACACCUACUUAGUAGUGUGAAUUGAGAUGCUGCAUCACUUAAAAAAUAAGAAAAAAAAUUCUCAUUCUGCAAGUGCAUGGCAGCCUUGGAGCAAAUAUAAUGGCUAUCAACCUUUGGCAGGUCAUUGCCUGUUCGUUACCUUGGACAUAUGCUUGCGACGAACUGGCGAGGUAUGUUUUAGGUAUUUGCCGUGACAGGUGAUGCUACAAAUGUGGUUGCCGUGAAAGGUGAUGGUACAAAUGAUGCUCCUGCACUACAGGAAGAAGC
rnacentral:lncRNA from 1 species